ACCUGGCUGGCUCAGUCAGAGGAGCACGUGAUUCUCGAUCUUGGGGUUGUGAGUUCGAGCCCCACGUUGGGUG
rnacentral:tRNA from 1 species